AUGGAGUGGCUUGGAGCUGCUUCGGCAUCCUCAGGAGAGCAAACAAAAAGGGUGGGGGAGCCAAAACGAGAGCAAAACUUGGUAAAGGUGGGAAUGGACACCUGGAACCAGUCAUUCGGUGCAUCCUAUAAGAUCAGGUUUGUCCAUAUCCUUAAGAAUCUCCACACUUCGGAGGUCAAAAUCUACUCAGACGCGUCAAGGGAGUUCAUCGAGCUAUUGGACGGUGAUUCUGGUGGUGAGGUGCUACGGGACUAUGUCCAGCAGUCCCCGCGGCUCGUGGAGCUGAUGGAGGCAUGGCGGCUGCACCGGGAGAAGCCAGGGAUGGCGUACAUACUUUCCCUGUUUGCCACUGUCCUGGGCAACCCCGGUGGCAAGUCGCGGCAGCAUGCUUUUUCUAAGAAGUGCUUGGACGCCGUUGCUAGGACGAUACUGGAGGAUAAGGACAAGGUGGGGGAUGUGUACCGUGAACUCAACAGUGGCGAGUUCCGGCGCCAGAAUGCUGCAUUGGAUUUGCUUGCUGCCAUUGUCAGGCGUGGUGCGGGGCUGGCGUCGGAGGUUGCCGAGAGCUUUGAUUUCAAGAUGGCUGUUGUGACGCAACUGGCAGGGAUACAGAAGAAGAGAGGGGGCAGGGAUGGGAGGAAUCAGAAAAAAGGUGCUAAUUUUGGCUCUACAAGGCGAUCACUUGUUGGGUUUGCCAUGUCGUUCCUUGAGAUUGGGAACCCGAAGCUGCUAAGAUGGGUCCUUCAACAGAGGGAGCUUUACUCAGGGGUGCUACGCGGGAUUGGAGAAGAUGAUGCUGAGACUGUUGUGUAUGUCCUCUCAACACUGCGGGAUAAUGUUUUGGUAGAGGAGUCACUUGUCCCACCAGGGCUCCGCAGUGUCCUUUUUGGAAGUGCCACAUUGGAACAGCUGAGCUUGAUAUCGGGGAAUUUGGAUGCAGGUGAAGCAGCUGACCUUGCUCAUCAAGUGCUGGUCAUGGUCUGCACUGAUCCAAAAAAUGGAUUAAUGCCAUCCUCACAUUUGAGAGGUAACGAGAAACGCUUGCUGGAUCUGAUGAAGAAGUUGAAGUCUACUGAGAGCGUUCACCACAAGAAUCUGUUGCUGGCUAUUGUGAGUAAGAGGCUUUCUUUUUGCGCGGCAUACAUGAAUGAGUUCCCUUACAAUAUUGAACCACGGCCAUCCCCCUCUUGGUUUGCCGCCAUCUCCCUAGCAGCGGAUAUAAUAUCUUCAGCAAAAACUGAUAGCAUAUUUCAUAGUUUCCUGUCACAUGAUCUGGUAUCCGUCGAUGAUGAACAAGUACAGGUAGUUCUGAAGUGCAUCGUGCCCCAUGUAUGCUCUCGAGCAGUGAUAAAUAGGGGAUUGCAGCAUUCUGAUGAUCUUGUGAAGCAUGGUUCUCUGAGGCUUGUUUUUGAGUCAGUGAACCUACUGUGCUGUGUUACUGAAGCAAUCAAUGGUGUGGUAUCAAGUGUGGGAUCGACAUCAGAAUCCAGUAGCUCAACAAAAGGGAAAAUCAGAAUGAACAAUUUCCCAGGAUUAAGUUGUUCCACUGCAACGGAUGCAUUCUUGGUAGAUAAACUUAACCAGGGAGACCAAAUGCGUGUCAAGAGGUGGAUAUCUCUGAGAGAAUACAUUCAAGAUGAAGUGCGCGGAGCUAUUCCUGAUCCACAGGUCCUUCUGAAGUUACUUUCUUCUGCCAGUCAGAAACACCAAAAUUGUUCUCAGAGUAGACUUGAGAGACGUGCUCAGGCUUCUGAGCCUCCUCAAAAGAAACAGAGAUGUAAUGCUAUCGAUGAGGAUGAUGAUAUUAUUAUUGGUGGAAUUGAUGUUGAGUGGGCCAAGGAUGUAUCUGAAGAGCAAGACCAAGACUUGGCAAGCGAUCAUGCUACCACUCUGUGUGAGAUAUGGGGCUUAGAUAAGCAAGAUCUGGAGAUGAAAGAUGCAGAAGUGGUAGACAGUGUUUUCCACUCGAAGUUGCUUGAUGUUCUCCGGCUCUAUUUGAGGAUAAUGCCCAGCUCAUUUGAUGGAUCAUUUGACUUCUUUAGGGUUAUACCACCUAAUCCGUUGGAUCUAUCCAAGGAUGAGCAGCACUCCUUAUUGUCACUUUUAGUUGAGUAUUCAGGGCAACACGAGGGACAUUGGGACCCAGAGAGAGUUCCAGAAUCAAUGUACAAGCAUUUGCAACCACUGAUUGACAUCAUGUUGCACUCACCAGUUAAGAUCAUCCGUGAGCAAGCAUACAUUUUAGUUAAAGCUGCUCUAGCAAGUUCUGGUGCGUUUGAUCAGAACUUUGCGGAGAUUGAUGCAUGGUUAGUUUUCUUGCCUGGUUAUGAAGCCAAAUGGUGUGUAAGAGAGAGCCUAGGAGUUGGAGUAUCUAAUAAAUUGUCACAAAUUGUGAUCCCUUUCCUCUGCGAUGCUGUUUCAAUGGUUGGGAGCAAUUUGUACAAAUACCAAGAUUACAUGCGGAAGUUCAUCUCUAAAUCAGGCCAGCUUGAAGUCUAUUCUCCAGCUUUCAGUCCUCUGGUUAUUUGUGUUCUUCAGAAAUGCCUUAGGCUACUUGACUCUGAGUCUGGAGGUAUGAAAGUACAUGAGAAGUCGACAAUUUCAUUAUAUGUGUGCAACACAAUCUACCUUAUUCUGCAGUCCCAGGUAGAUGCUCAAUUAUUGCUUGACCUUAUUGGUGCUGUUCUGAAUCAGAGAUUUGAUAUUUUUUCACCGGAAGAACUACAGUCUAGGAUUUAUAUUGCUGAAUGGAGGCCAUUCAUUAAUUUGUUGCAUAUCUCUAGGAAUAUCUUGGACCAACAAAAUUCUAGUUUGUUCACAGCUGUGGAACAUUCUUCUGAACUUCAUUCAAACUCUUUGUCCUCUGUGAUUAGAAAGGUUCAAGAAAUGUUAAGCCAGCAACACACUAAUUUGCCAGAUGAUGUAGCGACUGCAUUCUUAUUUUCAAUCAUGUGUGCAGCUCCACAGGACAUUAUCUGUAGCUUUCCAGAGCUUCUUGAUGUUGUGAAAACACACUGUCCUUCUCAUAUGCAAUUCUUGUCGUCAGUUCUUUAUCUGCAACAUGAUUACCUAGCUGAAAUUGCUACUUGUUGGCCGGAUAUUUUCUUCUGUAGUCUCAGACAGAUCGAGGGUAAUCUUGAUGUUGAUGAGGGCAAAUGUCAAAACCACUCAAUUUCUGCAGAAUUACCUGCAUUGAGUACAUUCCUAAAUGUGACUCCGUUCUGUGCACUCUUACCUUCAGUAUUAAGCCUUGUGUUCUCUGGGCCAGCUAAAACUGGGGAGGCACAUGCAUUGCUACUUGAUGCACUUGUCCGACUUAUUCGAGCUAAGCUUUAUGAAAGCACAAUCAGUGAGCUGACAUUUAAUCUGAGAGUCAUAUUAUUCUGGAGCCAUCGCUUGCUGUUGUCAUACACUAGGAAGGGUUCAAAUGUUCUUGAAGAACUUUGCCAUGUAUGCUCCACUCUUGUUGAUAGCAUAUUUGAGCGCAUCCGAGUUUUGGCUGCUGAUACUGCUGACUUGAAUGCUUCAGCGGAAUGUUUCCAAGAUAUUGUUGAAUCGGUUCUCCACCAUCCUACUAUUGACCUGCCAUGUUCCUUAUCCAAUUGCCCGGACUUGACAGAUGGGAGUGCGGAACAUGUGGAAGAAGCAUUUACUAGUUUUUCAAAGGAAAAUCUGCACCUUGUAGAUGGUUUUGUUGUGAAUCUUCUUAGUAAACUAUAUGACCUUUUGCUGUUGGCUGAAAAUGAUGGUCAGUCCUUAGAGUCGCUGUUUGCUUCCCCAAAGGCCAUGCUAGGAAAAAUACUGCUGUUGUUCAAGGAUAAAUUUCAAGUCUGCAUGGACAAUGGAAACUUUGGACUGCUUUUGCCAAAUUCCUACAUGGUUCGGGCAUUGAAAAAAUUCAUGUCCCCUGUCAGACUUCUAGAACUUGUAAAUUGGAUGUUCUCAGAGUUAGAAAGUCGUGGGUCGAGUUGUUCAGCUGCAUUUGCCCCUGCUGCUUUUGUAUGUCUAUCUGUUGCUGAUAUUGCCAUGGAAUUACUGUAUGAUUAUCUACAACAAACUGAUCAGAGAUCAGAAUCCUGUCAAUUAUGGGGCUUGGAGAUUCGAAGUUCAGAUAUUGCCACCAUUCAGCGAGUAUAUCAUUUCAUUCUCCAUUUUACUGCUAAACUGAAUCUUGAAUCUGCUGAUGUUUGCUUGCUGAAGAUGUUGAUUCGUAUCCAUAAUGCAGAAAGAUCUGCAGGACAGAACACUGAAUAUACUGCAUUCCACAUGAUGUUAUCUACCAUGGCCACCAACACUCCCCUUAGAAUUCUUCAUCACUGUAUGUUUCCCACAUCUAAGGUUAAAGCAAAAGUUUUACGGUUGCUUUUGGAAGUAAGCCCUAUACACAUGAACUUUUUUGGCCAGAUGUUGAUGAAAGUUCUAGAAGAAGACACUUCUAUUCUGCAAGGCAUGGAUUACAAUUCUGAUUCUUCAUGGGCUCAUGCGGAUAGCUCUAUACUUCUGCUGCCUGCUGCUUUGUCAUACAUGAGGCAUCACAGUGAUGGCCAUAUGCAGUGUGCUGAAUUCCUUGAGCCACUUGCAAAAUUUUACUGUGAAAUGCUGUUAGGUGAUAAUGGGUUUCCAUGUUGGAAAAGUUUUAUUACUAGGACCAUUUUUGAGGAAAAUUUUGGUGACUUUCAACAUGAAUCAGUUCCAGAUAUGAUGGAUCAUUUCAGUGACACUCUCUUGGGGAAGUCUGUUACCAUGUUGCACUACUGCUUGUCUUUAAAAGAAAUGCCCCGGAAGCAACGCUUGGAAAUAGUUGCUUCACUUUGUCCACAAUCUUCUGCCCUAUUAGAUUUUGAUGUCAAUGAUAUUAAUCCUGACUCUCACAAAGGUCAUGUGAAGCUUACUAAUGAAUUGCUUGCAAAGAUAUCAUUGAUUAGGUUGUUGCUGUCUCCUCCCAGAAGAUUGUCGUCUAAUGAGACAGCAUCAGACAGGGAGUCCAAGAGAGUGAGCAAUGCUAAGCUGAAUUUCAUAAGCAUCUUGGUCAGAACUUUGGAUCAAAUACUCAGGAAUUUCCCCCGCUGUGAUGGCUUAUCACACUCUGAUAAACAACAAAGGGUCAUCUGUUCUUUGGAAUAUACAGUUCUCAAGAAUAUUAUCGAACUGUCUUCAGAGAUUCAAACUCAUCUGAACCAAUUGAAGUCAAUACCUUUCCUUAACCAAUUCAUCAGAUCAUCUCUCUUGCACAGGUUCAAUGAUCAUGUCACACUAAAAGCAAUUCGAUGUGUUCUUGUUGUAUUAUCAGAAGGGAAGUUUCCUGCUGAUGAAAUUCUUGAGCUCAUACUGGGCCACUCCCAUUUUCUGUCAUCAAUAACCUGCAGUGAAGUUUCUGAAUAUUCAUCUGCAUUUAAUGCUACAGGGAGCCUUCUACAGCCAGCACCAGGCAUUUUAAAAUCAGUCGAUUCUCUUUUCACUAAAGAAAACGAGUUCCAUAUUUGCAUAGCAGAAAAGAGAAAAAUAGAAAUCAUCAGAUUACUCAGGAUACUGUAUGAUAUUAAGAGUAGACAACAGAGUAAUGGCCUAUUGAAUGAAUCAAAAGAGCUAAGUUUCUUGCUUUUAUCUGUUUAUGGUGCAACUCUUAGCGAAACAGAUCUGGAGAUAUUUAAUCUUAUGAAUGAGAUAGAGUCACAUGAGUGCAAAACUAUCGCUGAAAUGGAUCAUCUAUGGGGGAGUGCAGCUGUUAAAUAUAGAGAAGAACUGAAACUAGAUUCUUCAAUAUCAGAAAUCCACAAAACAGAGAACACAGAAAGUAAUAGUAGGCGAAGGGCUCUAUUUCGGGAGAACAUACCAAUUGAUUCUAAGCUCUGUGUCAUGACAGUCUUGCAAUUUUGCUACAAAAGGUCUACAAGGACUUGUGUGUUCUCACUAGAACAGCUUCGUCUGGACAAAUUUGGUGAUAUUUUGAAGACAACAUCUCAAAGCACGGAUAUGGUUCGGAUUUAUGAUCCUAUGUUUAUCUUGCGUUUCUCGAUUCAUACUCUUCUCAUGGGUUACAUUGAGCCUGCUGAGUUCUCUCGAGUUGGUCUGCUUGCCAUUACGCUUGUUUGCAUAUCAUCUCCUGAUGAAGAAUUGAGAAAGCUGGGUUAUGAAUCUCUAAAUACAUUCAAAAAAUCACUCGAGGCUUCUCAGAAAAGCAAGGAAAAAUGGCAGCUCCAGCUUCUUUUGACAUAUCUACAGAAUGGAAUAUCCAAACCAUGGCAGAGGAUACCUUCCAUUAUUGCUAUUUUUGCCGCAGAAGCAUCAUUGACACUGCUGGAUAGCUCGCAUACUCAGUUCAAUACCAUAAGCAAAUAUUUGAUGAAUUCAGCCUCUGUCGAUAUGCAGAGCAUUCCAUUAUUUCCAACAUUAUUGAAGAGUAGUUCUGUGCAUUUCAAAGCUGAUCGAUUGUGGAUGCUUCGCUUAUUAUACGCUGGAUCAAAUCUAGCUGAUGAUGCUACGAUAUGCAAGAACAAAAGUGUUUUAGAGCUUGCUCUUGCCUUUUGUUCUUCAGCUAUUUCAGAUUCUGAAUCAAAGCAUUUAAUCCUUCAGGUGCUAAAGAAGUGUGUGAAGCUGCCAGUUCUAGCUCAGCAUUUAGUAAAAAAUUGUGGCCUUCUGUCGUGGAUAUCCUCUGUUAUUUCAACUCAUGGCAAAGGACUGGACAACAGCUCUAGUUCCAGAAUAGUUGGGUUAGCAUUGGAGGUACUCGAUGCUUUGAUCUUAUCAAGAUUCAUUACGGAAUGGCUCCAAGAAACUGCACUUGAACAACUGUCGGAAAUAUCUCAAUAUCUGUAUCUGCUAGUUGAAGAUGGAAAAUUAUUGAAAGGGGAUAUCACCAUGUUGAGUUCAAUUCUAAAUAUUAUUGCAUCUACAAUGAGGUUGUCUAUGAAAAGGAAGAUAUACCAACCGCAUUUUACUUUGUCCCUCAAUGGCAUAUUUAAGUUGUGCCAAGCUAUUGAUGGCAAUUCAAGAAGCAUCGAACUUAAGCUAUCAAUGGAACUUGGUACUGAUGUCGUCCUUAUGAACGGUCCUCUGCCAAUUAGUUCUGAAACGGAUAAGUCAAGAGCUGUGAUGGUUGUUUCAUGGGUAACUUCCAAUAUCUUCUGGUUGUGUAAACAAAAGUCUGCAGUUGAAAUGUCAUGUGAAGAGCCGCUAAACAACGAAUGUCUACUAUCAAAGAUAUUGCGUUGGUUAGUGGCUUCUGUAAUCCUUGGCAAAAUCUCCCGCAUCUCUCCUGAAAAGAGGGGAGGUCUUGCCACGAGCACAAAUAGUCCCGGAACUCUUCAGUCUUUCUUGAACCAUUCGUCUGAAACCGUUGAAAUGGUGGAUAGUCACGUUGCGGAUGAGGCGCUGGCUGCCAUUAUACUUUACCUACAAGGUCACAUGAAAAAGAAGAGUGAUACUUUGCCGUCAGUCGUGACGGCUCUUAGCUUGUUACUUCUUGACAGAUGCAGCGAACAAGUUUUGGUUGAUGGCCGUGGACAAAUCGAAACGCUUUGCUCAAAGAUACAUUGCCCCGCCGAAUCUAAUCCAGCAUGGAGAUGGCAUUAUUAUCAACCUUGGAGAGAUCCUACCUUGCAGCACACUGCGACAGAGCGAAUGGAAGUAGAGCAGUCAUGCCGAAGCCUGUUGAUCAUGUUUUCUAAUGCCCUGAACGCUGCUGGCUUGCCGGCAGGUAUCCCGGUGCUGUCAGUUGGUGACAUUGAGAAGUCUGGGCUGUUCCAGUGGGAAAGAGACUCGGUGGUUGAGCAGCCUCGCGCUUAG
rnacentral:rRNA from 1 species